GCAGCUGCUUCUUCUUCCUCAGAAGUGCAUCUCUAAGAGCCAGCUGGAAUAUGAAACAAGAGAGGAAUAUUCAGAAAGGGACCAGAAGAAACGUCAGUCCAGCUGAAAGGCUAACCCUCAUUUCUGGGACCACCCCUAUAAAACACUUUCACUACUGUUUUUCAAGACCAGCUUGAACCACAACAUUUAAGAAUCUGAAGAUACAAAGCUGCAACUACUGCUAGAAAAAUAACAUGCCCAUUGGUCUGAAGAAGAAAACUAGUCCUACAGCUUCAAUCAGUGCCUCUUGCUUUUUCUCACAUAAAUAAACCCCCAGGCCAGGAUCCAUUUGAGGCUGUGUGUCUGUUUGUCACCUGUCACCAGCCAUGAAUGACCAAGUUCUACAUCUGCUGGCAUCAGAAGUUACCUCACUAGACUCCGGGUGAAAGAAAGCACUCAUUAGCAUUUUAUA